AAGUAAUGAAGUAAAAAUAAUUACAUUUAGUUUCGACCUAAAAUUAGAGUUAUUAAACUCCAUACUUA
rnacentral:tRNA from 1 species